rnacentral:siRNA from 1 species
AGGCUCAUUAAGUCCUCGUUGCCU